UUACGCGAAGACCUUACCAGGGCUUGACAUCCUGCGAACCUCUGGGAAACCGGAGGGUGCCUUCGGGAACGCAGAGACAGGUGGUGCAUGGCUGUCGUCAGCUCGUGUCGUGAGAUGUUGGGUUAAGUCCCGCAACGAGCGCAACCCACGUCUUUAGUUGCCAGCAUUCAGUUGGGCACUCUAGAGAGACCGCCGGUGACAAACCGGAGGAAGGUGUGGAUGACGUCAAGUCAUCAUGCCCCUUACGUCCUGGGCUACACACGUACUACAAUGCUACGGACAAAGAGCAGCGAGCUCGCGAGAGUCAGCAAAUCUCAUAAACCGUGGCUCAGUUCAGAUCGUAGGCUGCAACUCGCCUACGUGAAGGAGGAAUCGCUAGUAAUCGCAGGUCAGCAUACUGCGGUGAAUACGUUCCCGGGUCUUGUACACACCG
rnacentral:rRNA from 1 species